UACGUAGGGUGCAAGCGUUGUCCGGAAUUAUUGGGCGUAAAGAGCUCGUAGGCGGUGUGUCGCGUCGGCCGUGAAAACCUGGGGCUCAACUCUGGGCGUGCGGUCGAUACGGGCAUCACUGGAGUUCGGCAGGGGAGACUGGAAUUCCUGGUGUAGCGGUGAAAUGCGCAGAUAUCAGGAAGAACACCUAUGACGAAGGCAGCUCUCUGGGACGGUACUGACGCUGAGACGCGAAAGCGUGGGGAGCGAACAGG
rnacentral:rRNA from 1 species